AUGAACGCUGGCGGCGUGCCUAAUACAUGCAAGUAGAACGCUGAAGGAGGAGCUUGCUCUUCUGGAUGAGUUGCGAACGGGUGAGUAACGCGUAGGUAACCUGCCUGGUAGCGGGGGAUAACUAUUGGAAACGAUAGCUAAUACCGCAUGACAACAGUUAUUGCAUGAUAACUGUUUAAAAGGGGCAACUGCUCCACUACCAGAUGGACCUGCGUUGUAUUAGCUAGUUGGUGAGGUAACGGCUCACCAAGGCGACGAUACAUAGCCGACCUGAGAGGGUGAUUGGCCACACUGGGACUGAGACACGGCCCAGACUCCUACGGGAGGCAGCAGUAGGGAAUCUUCGGCAAUGGACGGAAGUCUGACCGAGCAACGCCGCGUGAGUGAAGAAGGUUUUCGGAUCGUAAAGCUCUGUUGUAAGAGAAGAACGAGUGUGAGAGUGGAAAGUUCACACUGUGACGGUAUCUUACCAGAAAGGGACGGCUAACUACGUG
rnacentral:rRNA from 1 species